UACGUAGGUGGCAAGAGUUGUCCGGAUUUACUGGGCGUAAAGAGCGCGCAGGCGGUCGAUCAAGUCGCGUGUGAAAGCCCCCGGCUCAACUUGGAGACGCCACCCGAUACUGCUCUGACUUGAGUUCGGUAGGGGAGUGGGGAAUUCCUGGUGUAGCGGUGAAAUUCGUAGAUAUCGGGAGGAACACCGGUGGCGAAGGCGGCGACCUGGGUCGAGACUGACGCUGAGGCGCGAAAGCGUGGGGAGCAAACAGG
rnacentral:rRNA from 1 species